rnacentral:rRNA from 1 species
GAGACGGAGUCCUUCACUUCGGGUGGGAGGAACACAGGUGCUGCAUGGCUGUCGUCAGCUCGUGUCGUGAGAUGUUGGGUUAAGUCCCGCAACGAGCGCAACCCUCGCCCUUAGUUGCCAUCAUUUAGUUGGGCACUCUAAGGGGACUGCCGGUGAUAAGCCGGAGGAAGGUGGGGAUGACGUCAAGUCCUCAUGGCCCUUACGGGCUGGGCUACACACGUGCUACAAUGGCGGUGACAGAGGGAUGCAAAGGGGCAACCCUUCGCAAAUCUCAAAAAGCCGUCUCAGUUCGGAUUGGGGUCUGCAACUCGACCCCAUGAAGUUGGAAUCGCCAGUAAUCGCAGAUCAGCACGCUGCGGUGAAUACGUUCCCGGGCCUUGUACACACCGCCCGUCACACCAUGGGAGUUGGCUGUUACCUGAAGACGGUGCGCUAACCGCAAGGAAGCAGCCGGCCACGGUAGGGUCAGCGACGUGGGGUG